UCUCCGUCCAUGUUCUCUCCAUCACAGGAGCUUCUUUCACCGCCGCCGCUCUCUCCAUCGCUCCGUCCACGAUCUCAUCACUGACAGCAACUGCCAUUCGCUGGUCAUCCUCAUCCACCAGUUCAGGUAUGGCUUCAGGAAUCGAAACCAUUACACACUAACAAACCAACAAACCCUAGCAACAACAUUAUCAAUCUUACUCUCACUUUGUAAACUUGAAGUGCAGCGAUUAGAAUCUUCUCUGGUUAGAUUUCAUUGUGGUGUAUAAACGGUAGAUGAUGAAAUUUGUACAUUUGUGGUGGUCCUGCUUCAUUGUGCUUCAAAAUCUCCA